rnacentral:rRNA from 1 species
AACGAACGCUGGCGGCAUGCCUAACACAUGCAAGUCGAACGAGACCUUCGGGUCUAGUGGCGCACGGGUGCGUAACGCGUGGGAACCUGCCCUUAGGUUCGGAAUAACUCCCCGAAAGGGGUGCUAAUACCGGAUAAUGUCUUCGGACCAAAGAUUUAUCGCCUUUGGAUGGGCCCGCGUUGGAUUGGCUAGUUGGUAGGGUAAAAGCCUACCAAGGCGACGAUCCAUAGCUGGUCUGAGAGGAUGAUCAGCCACACUGGGACUGAGACACGGCCCAGACUCCUACGGGAGGCAGCAGUGGGGAAUAUUGGACACUGGGCGAAAGCCUGAUCCAGCAAUGCCGCGUGAGUGAUGAAGGCCUUAGGGUUGUAAAGCUCUUUUACCCGGGAUGAUAAUGACGGUACCGGGAGAAUAAGCUCCGGCUAACUCCGU